rnacentral:rRNA from 1 species
UGGGGAAUCUUGCACAAUGGAGGAAACUCUGAUGCAGCGACGCCGCGUGAGCGAUGAAGCCCUUCGGGGUGUAAAGCUCUUUCGACGGGAACGAUAAUGACGGUACCCGGAGAAGAAGCUGCGGCUAACUACGUGCCAGCAGCCGCGGUAAUACGUAGGCAGCAAGCGUUGUUCGGAAUUACUGGGCGUAAAGAGUGUGUAGGCGGUUCUCUAUGUUCGGUGUGAAAUCUCCCGGCUUAACUGGGAGGGUGCGCCGAAAACUGGAGGGCUUGAGUAUGGGAGAGGAAAGCGGAAUUCCUGGUGUAGCGGUGAAAUGCGUAGAUAUCAGGAGGAACACCUGCGGUGUAGACGGCUUUCUGGACCAUCACUGACGCUGAGACACGAAAGCGUGGGUAGCAAACAGGAUUAGAUACCCCCGUAGUCC